GGGGACCUUCGGGGCCCUUCAUUAGGCGAAAUUAUCCGCCGUCAGCUAACGGAAGACAGAAA
rfam:Thioclava sp. SK-1 scaffold79_cov1992_read209, whole genome shotgun sequence.